GAGAGACUGAAGGAAAGGCCAUCUGCAGACCCUGGGUCCUGAUUGGCUAACUCUCUACUGAGCCCUUGGACAGACAUUCUGUGAGAGACUGAAGGAAAGGCCAUCUGCAGACCCUGGGUCCUGACUGACUACUGUAACUCUCUACUGAGCCCUUGGACAGAGAUGACUUUAUAACUCUGUAUUAUUCAACUUUGUUACUCGUAACCUGAACAUAAAACACACAGUUAUCAAGUUGCUCCUUGUAUUGAAAGUUUACAUGAACCAGUGUUAUUUCCUUAUCCGUUUUUACACCCCUCUUCCGGCCAUCAGUGCUCUCUCAAAGUAUCAAAUACCUCUUUGCAUCCCAUUACAUCCUCAAAUCUGUAUGUAGAUAGCUGAAGCCUGAAGUGCAUUGUUGUCUUGUUUUGCAUGCAUUGUACAAAAAUGAUAAAUGCAGGACGACAGCAUCAUAUCUAUAAAACAUAGCUUACUUUUUACUAGCUAGUGACUGGCAUGUUCCUGUUUGUGCCUCCAGCUAUGAUGAAUUUCACUGACCUCCUGACCUGGGUGGUCUAAUCCAAACAGUGCAGUAUAAUAUGACAGUACUAUGUUAACACAUAUGAAUAGUACAAUAGUGAAGUGAUGUAGCCCUACCCAUCUUUCCUAGUUUGAGGUUGGUGUUUUAAUCAGUGAUAUCAGACAGACUGUAUUGUGAGUUGGUUUCCUGUCUGCUCUAUUCUUUAUAUGAUUUUAAACCACAUUUUCCACUUUUCUAUUGUUGAGGUGGGGACAGAGGAACCGUAAAUAUUCUGCGGUCUUUUUUUAAUGACCCGCCUUGACGGCUGAGUUGCAUUUCCAAACAAAAACAAUAUUUCCAAAUUGAGACCAGAAAAGAGGUUUCAUGCAAUUACUACUCCCCACAGUUCCCGGAAGCCUCAAAGUUAUUUCUCUCCUCUUUUAUCCCUUUCUUUAUUCCUACAAUCAGAGAAACAAACCACUGUCUAAAAGAUGUGUGCAGGCACAAAACCAACAAAUGUGUCUUUCAUUUUUUUGACAGGCCUAGUUAUACUGUAUGUGUCCAAUAGCAAGCCUCUCUAGGUUGAGGGUUCACUGGUCCAAGGUCAGAUAUUAGCUCAUGUCCCUAAAGUGAAGGGUUAGAAUUAGGUCUAGUCAUCGGAUCCCAGAUCUGUGGUUUAGGGCAACUCUUCAACCUCAAGAUAGAUAUGAAGGAACCGUUGUCAGAGGUGGGGCUAGAGACCUUUGAAAAAAUACAGUCUUAUAAUGAGAAUACAUGAAUUAGAUCAUUUGGUAAUAAUGCACAGCUCAUAAGGUGUUAUAAUGUGCUUAUACGGCAUUGGGAAGAUAGGUUACCAUACAUUUCAAACGUUAGGCUUGAAGAGCGAAAUGUCCACAGUCCUUUUCCAUCAGCGUGUUAUAGUGUAUAUGAGAUGUAAAGGUCUGGGGAGUGGUCUGGCCUGGGGUUAUAGUGUAUAUGAGAUGUAAAGGUCUGGGGAGUGGUGGUCUGGCCUGGGGUUAUAGUGUAUAUGAGAUGUAAAGGUCUGGGGAGUGGUGGUCUGGCCUGGGGUUAUAGUGUAUAUGAGAUGUAAAGGUCUGGGGAGUGGUGGUCUGGCCUGGGGUUAUAGUGUGUAUGAGAUGUAAAGGUCUGGGGAGUGGUGGUCUGGCCUGGGGUUAUAGUGUAUAUGAGAUGUAAAGGUCUGGGGAGUGGUCUGGCCUGGUUAUAGUGUAUAUGAGAUGUAAAGGUCUGGGGAGUGGUGGUCUGGCCUGGGGUUAUAGUGUAUAUGAGAUGUAAAGGUCUGGGGAGUGGUGGUCUGGCCUGGGGUUAUAGUGUAUAUGAGAUGUAAAGGUCUGGGGAGUGGUGGUCUGGCCUGGGGUUAUAGUGUAUAUGAGAUAUAAAGGUCUGGGGAGUGGUGGUCUGGCCUGGGGUUAUAGUGUAUAUGAGAUGUAAAGGUCUGGGGUUAUAGUGUAUAUGAGAUGUAAAGGUCUGGGGAGUGGUGGUCUGGCCUGGGGUUAUAGUGUAUAUGAGAUGUAAAAGUCUGGGGUUAUAGUGUAUAUGAGAUGUAAAGGUCUGGGGAGUGGUGGUCUGGCCUGGGGUUAUAGUGUAUAUGAGAUGUAAAGGUCUGGGGUUAUAGUGUAUAUGAGAUGUAAAGGUCUGGGGAGUGGUGGUCUGGCCUGGGGUUAUAGUGUAUAUGAGAUGUAAAGGUCUGGGGUUAUAGUGUAUAUGAGAUGUAAAGGUCUGGGGAGUGGUGGUCUGGCCUGGGGUUAUAGUGUAUAUGAGAUGUAAAGGUCUGGGGUUAUAGUGUAUAUGAGAUGUAAAGGUCUGGGGAGUGGUGGUCUGGCCUGGGGUUAUAGUGUAUAUGAGAUGUAAAGGUCUGGGGAGUGGUGGUCUGGCCUGGGGUUAUAGUGUAUAUGAGAUGUAAAGGUCUGGGGAGUGGUGGUCUGGCCUGGGGUUAUAGUGUAUAUGAGAUGUAAAGGUCUGGGGAGUGGUGGUCUGGCCUGGGGUUAUAGUGUAUAUGAGAUGUAAAGGCCUGGGGUUAUAGUGUAUAUGAGAUGUAAAGGCCUGGGGUUAUAGUGUAUAUGAGAUGUAAAGGUCUGGGGAGUGGUGGUCUGGCCUGGGGUUAUAGUGUGUAUGAGAUGUAAAGGUCUGGGGAGUGGUGGUCUGGCCUGGGGUUAUAGUGUAUAUGAGAUGUAAAGGUCUGGGGAGUGGUCUGGCCUGGUUAUAGUGUAUAUGAGAUGUAAAGGUCUGGGGAGUGGUGGUCUGGCCUGGGGUUAUAGUGUAUAUGAGAUGUAAAGGUCUGGGGAGUGGUGGUCUGGCCUGGGGUUAUAGUGUAUAUGAGAUGUAAAGGCCUGGGGUUAUAGUGUAUAUGAGAUGUAAAGGUCUGGGGAGUGGUGGUCUGGCCUGGGGUUAUAGUGUGUAUGAGAUGUAAAGGUCUGGGGAGUGGUGGUCUGGCCUGGGGUUAUAGUGUAUAUGAGAUGUAAAGGUCUGGGGAGUGGUCUGGCCUGGUUAUAGUGUAUAUGAGAUGUAAAGGUCUGGGGAGUGGUGGUCUGGCCUGGGGUUAUAGUGUAUAUGAGAUGUAAAGGUCUGGGGAGUGGUGGUCUGGCCUGGGGUUAUAGUGUAUAUGAGAUGUAAAGGCCUGGGGUUAUAGUGUAUAUGAGAUGUAAAGGUCUGGGGAGUGGUGGUCUGGCCUGGGGUUAUAGUGUGUAUGAGAUGUAAAGGUCUGGGGAGUGGUGGUCUGGCCUGGGGUUAUAGUGUAUAUGAGAUGUAAAGGUCUGGGGAGUGGUGGUCUGGCCUGGGGUUAUAGUGUAUAUGAGAUGUAAAGGUCUGGGGAGUGGUCUGGCCUGGGGUUAUAGUGUAUAUGAGAUGUAAAGGUCUGGGGAGUGGUCUGGCCUGGGGUUAUAGUGUAUAUGAGAUGUAAAGGUCUGGGGAGUGGUGGUCUGGCCUGGGGUUAUAGUGUAUAUGAGAUGUAAAGGUCUGGGGAGUGGUGGUCUGGCCUGGGGUUAUAGUGUAUAUGAGAUGUAAAGGCCUGGGGUUAUAGUGUAUAUGAGAUGUAAAGGUCUGGGGAGUGGUGGUCUGGCCUGGGGUUAUAGUGUAUAUGAGAUGUAAAGGUCUGGGGAGUGGUGGUCUGGCCUGGGGUUAUAGUGUAUAUGAGAUGUAAAGGUCUGGGGAGUGGUGGUCUGGCCUGGGGUUAUAGUGUAUAUGAGAUGUAAAGGUCUGGGGAGUGGUCUGGCCUGGGGUUAUAGUGUAUAUGAGAUGUAAAGGUCUGGGGAGUGGUCUGGCCUGGGGUUAUAGUGUAUAUGAGAUGUAAAGGUCUGGGGAGUGGUGGUCUGGCCUGGGGUUAUAGUGUAUAUGAGAUGUAAAGGUCUGGGGAGUGGUGGUCUGGCCUGGGGUUAUAGUGUAUAUGAGAUGUAAAGGUCUGGGGAGUGGUGGUCUGGCCUGGUGUUAUAGUGUAUAUGAGAUGUAAAGGUCUGGGGAGUGGUGGUCUGGCCUGGGGUUAUAGUGUAUAUGAGAUGUAAAGGUCUGGGGAGUGGUGGUCUGGCCUGGGGUUAUAGUGUAUAUGAGAUGUAAAGGUCUGGGGAGUGGUGGUCUGGCCUGGGGU